AUGGCUUAGAGUAGAACAACUUUGAGACCCUCAACAGGAAUCCACAAAAGAUAGAAAAAUGAUGUGUCUAACUCGAUCAUCCCUCAGAAUUGAAGAAAUGGAGCCUUCCUUCACAGCUCUCAGGAAAAUAUGUUGUUCCCCUGCAACUCAAGCACUCUCAACUUAGGAACCUGAUGUCAAGAGCACAGCUAGCCUAUUGUCCAGGAACUGACCUCCAGCACACACUCACUUCCCCUGGACACCAUGGCAUCACCACCAGCCUCAACUCAUUGGAUCCAGGGAAAUAACGGACUCAGAGGGUCCACUGGCUGAUUGGUCACCAAUCAGAAGCACUCUACACAGAAUGAGUGGGAAGAGUGGCAUGCACAUGAACUGAAAAGUCACGCGAAGGGUGUGGCAGCUACUUUGGCCAUGCACCCCCACCCCAUGCCAGACAUAGAAGAGACUGAGCAGUGAGCAAGCCACAUGGUUACCCACACAAAGAAAAGGGAGAGGAUAACACCGAUGUACUGAGAGCAGCUGAUCAAAGACCACAAAACCCAGGGGAAAAAAGGGCAAAGAGAAGAUGAUGAAACUACUGCCUAGUAGAGCCAGACUGAGUCCAGGACUGUGUGUCGCCAAAGACCACAUGGCUGUCUGACGAAUGCCUUCUCCACCACGCCAAGCCCAGCAGUGGGCUGGAAAGGCAUCUUGGCCAAGGGGAUGGAGAGAAGAGACCCAAAUGACAUUUCUAAAGUGCCAGCUCACCCAGCAGACCAUUUGGGGGGACAACCAGCAUCACCUGAUAGGCUAAAGAGGUGAAACCUUCCACAUUAAAGAAGGUCGAGGACAAAAAAGGCAAGUAAGGUUUCUAGUGAGCACUUCUGAGCUGAAGCAUUUCCUGUUUUUCUUACCACCUUCCAUCCAUAUCCCUUUUCGUAUUUUCUGAGUGUUUCAAGGCGACUGCACCCUCUCUGAUGUUUUGCCAACAGAAACCAGCAACCAGAUCAUUGUCCCUUUACCUGACAAAUAUCUCCACUUAGUUGUCAGUUACUCAACUUCCAUUGUCCCCUUGAUGCAAUUCAUCAGUUGGAAUAGUUGAUUCCAUGGCAAAAUCUGUGUCUUCAUUCCCCAUUAAUGUCUUAUAAAGGCGAAGUACAAUCCUGGCAUCUCCAAGUGGGUCUUGCCCAGAGUAAGAAUUCACUUUCAAAACCCUUUAUAUCCAUCAGCAAAAAUCAAUGUGAUUUUUAAAGGGUCUUUUACUUGUUAGGGCAAUAAAGAUUCUUCAAGCUAAAA